rnacentral:rRNA from 1 species
UACGUAGGGUGCGAGCGUUGUCCGGAAUUAUUGGGCGUAAAGGGCGCGUAGGCGGCACAGCAAGUCGGGAGUGAAAGCCCGGGGCUCAACCCCGGAAUGGCUUUCGAAACUGCUGAGCUAGAGUACAGAAGGGGCAACCGGAAUUCCCAGUGUAGCGGUGAAAUGCGUAGAUAUUGGGAAGAACACCUGAGGCGAAGGCGGGUUGCUGGGCUGAUACUGACGCUGAGGCGCGAAAGCCAGGGGAGCAAACGGG